UACGUAGGGGGCCAGCGUUGCUCGGAAUUACUGGGCGUAAAGGGUUCGUAGGCGGUGCGGCAAGUUGGGAGUGAAAUCUCUGGGCUUAACCCAGAGGCUGCUUUCAAAACUGCCGUGCUCGAGUGCGGGAGAGGCCAGUGGAAUUGCAGGUGUAGCGGUGAAAUGCGUAGAUAUCUGCAGGAACACCCGAGGCGAAAGCGGCUCGCUGGGUCGCAACUGAUGCUGAGGGACGAAAGCUAGGGGAGCAAACAGG
rnacentral:rRNA from 1 species